UACGGGGGGGGCAAGCGUUGUUCGGAAUUACUGGGCGUAAAGGGCUCGUAGGCGGCCAACUAAGUCAGACGUGAAAUCCCUCGGCUUAACCGGGGAACUGCGUCUGAUACUGGAUGGCUAGAGAUUGGGAGAGGGAUGCGGAGUUCCAGGUGUAGCGGUGAAAUGCGUAGAUAUCUGGAGGAACACCGGUGGCGAAGGCGGCAUCCUGGACCGACACUGACGCUGAGGAGCGAAAGCCAGGGGAGCAAACGGG
rnacentral:rRNA from 1 species